UGAUUUUAGUGGUCAGUUAGAGAGAAGUUCUGUAUCAGCUGCUGAUGAGCUUUUUGAUGGUGGAAAAAUCAAGCCUUUGAAAUUGAAGCCACCACCAAGGUUACAGUAUGAAGGCAAACCAUUUGAUUCGCCGAAAUCUCCAAUGAAAAAGUUCAAGCAAGCUUUCUCUCCCCGAAACAAGAAGAAAGAAUUAGAUCCAUUUGCAGCAGCCCUAGAACAGAGUAGUCGAACAGGAUGGGCGGGAGAAAUCUCCAAUGAAAAUGUUCAAGCAAGCUUUUUCUCCCCGAAACAAGAAGAAAGAAUUAGAUCCAUUUGCAGCAGCCCUAGAACAGAGUAGUCGAACAGAAAAUGAUCGCCCUGGUAGGGAAAGAACUCAGCACUCUACAAAUUCUUCAAGGCACAAAAAGACAAGAUCUUUAUCUCCUUUCAGAGCUUCCGAUCUACUGUUUGAUAGUGAAAAGCAAGAAAAUACAGACAUAUCUGAUUCUCCUUCUUCUUCUUCUUCAUUUUCGUCGAUGAUAACACUAUGGUACAGAAAAUGGAAGCUGAAAGAUUUGUUUCUAUUCAGAAGCGCGUCAGAGGGCAGAGCAAGUAAUAAAGAUCAGUUAAACAAGUUUUUGAAGAAAACUCAUAGUAAAGAGGAUGUGAAGACUUCAAGCUUUAGAUCAACUGCUAGUAGUGUUGGAUCGUCAUCGGUAUCAAGCUCCUUGAAGAAGAGGGAGGUUUCGGCUCAUGAAUUGCAUUACACGUUGAAUAAGGCACUCUCUGAGGAGAUGAAGAGGAAAACUUUCUUGCCAUACAAGAAUGGCGUACUGGGUU
rnacentral:lncRNA from 1 species